CUCCUUUCUUUUUCUUUCUCUCCAGCCGUUGCCUUCCCUCUCUCUCAUUCCAUCUCCAUCUCCAUCUCUGUCUUCCAGUGGGCUAAAGGAGGCAACGAGGCUUGCAGUGCAAGGUGGGACGGGGAGGCUAGCGACGCAAGGUGGGAUGGCGGGUUGGUUUCAUGUUCGGCGAGGCUAGGUUCAGCGAUGGGGUCGGGCUGUACAGCGGUAGGAGGCUCGGGGCUGGGCUCGACGGCGGGUGAGGGGGUCUCCGGUCUGUGCUCAAUGGCGCAGGGGGGACGGGGUCGGGCUGUACAGCGGCAGGGAGAAUAUUCAGGUAUACUUUGUCCUAUUUUUGCAGAGAUAGUUCCUGGGAAGUCACGAACUAGCGUGUAUGCAUUGGACAGGUCUUGUGAGUCCGUACUCUCAUCAUUUGCUCCCCCUGUAGUCGGGUUAUUGGCACAACAUGUUUAUGGUUAUAGAUCGGUUGAUAAAGGGUCCUCUGCAUCUGAAGAGAUUGCCAAAGAUAGGGGAAAUGCUGCGUCUUUGGCCAAGGCACUGUACACAGCAAUAGGAGUUUCGAUGGCUCUCUGUUGUCUUAUGUACUCAUUCCUGUAUUCAACCUAUCCAAGAGAUCGGGAGCGAGCUCAAAUGGAAGCUUUGACAGAAUCAGAGAUGCUGCAAAUAAGAUUGGAAUUACCUGCAGAUGGGCAACAUCCUCAUCAAGUUCUGUUAUUCGAGUCAGGAGAACCAUAUUUGGAGGAAAGAACCGUAAUCGAACCAGAGAAGAUAGGAUAUGACAGGAAAAAGAAUACCUUGUUUGUGUCAUUUCCUAGCCAAUAGUGAAUGUCAUGCAGAGGAGGCCCACUUUUACGUUGGUCAGGCUGUACGGCGGCGGGUGGGGGAGUCUCGGGUCUAGGUUCGAUGGCGCAGGGGCUGGGCAUUUUCUCAGUCCAUUCCGUCGUCACUCAGGAACUGGCACCUGAAUCAGACCAAGCUCAACAAACUGCCCAAGACACUGGAGAGAUUUUUACAGAUUCAGGUGCCUCGCAGGAGGGCAGAAGUGCAGAAAAAGGGAAAGAAAAGGAAGAAAAGGAUAAGGAGAAGAGUAAAGACCCUGAAAAAGAGAGAGAAAGGGAAAGAAAAAAAUGCUGAUAAGAAAGGAGACACUGAAAAAGAGAAAUUAAAAAGUAUUGAAGGGACAAAUUUAGAUGCCUUAUUGCAGAGGCUUCCAAGUUGUGUGAGCCGUGAUCUUAUAAAUCAAUUGACAGUAGAUUUGUUACUUGAAUUCAAAAGCAAGUCGAAAAAAGCUUGUGAGGGCAUUGUUUAAUGUUCCAAGGACUUCAUUGGAACUGCUAUCAUACUAUCCACGCAUGGUUGCCACAUUAUCAACAUGCAUGAAAGAUGUUUCUUCCAUGCUCCUACAAAUGCUAGAAGAGGAGUUUCAUUUCUUAAUUAAUAAAAAGGCUAAAUAUUUACUUGGAUAUUUAAGAGAACCAAGACAAUUAUAUAAGUGAACCAAGGCAACAAGAAAUUCUUCUUCAAGUUGUUGGGUAUUAUUUUCUUUCUUACUUGUAAGAAUUAUGUAUAGUGAGAUUUGAUGUAUUAUUUACAUUGAGAAUAAUGAAUUUUUAUUGAGAAUUAUUUAGUCUCUUGGGGAUUUGAUGUAUUGUUUACAUUUCAAUUAUAUGAAUAAAUGUUGUAUGUAUAUGGAUUUUUAUUAUAAAUAUAAUUUUUUUACAA